rnacentral:rRNA from 1 species
AUUGAACGCUGGCGGCAGGCCUCACACAUGCAAGUCGGACGAGCGGCGGACGGGUGAGUAAUGUAUGGGAAACUGCCCGAUGGAGGGGGAUAACUCCUGGAAACGGUAGCUAAUACCGCAUACCAUCAGAUGAACCCCUAUGGGAUUAGCUAGUAGGUGGGGUAACGGCUCACCUAGGCGACGAUCCCUAGCUUGUCUGAGAGGAUGAUCAGCCACACGGGGACUGAGACACGGCCCAGACUCCUAAGGGAGGCAGAAGUGGGUAAUAUUGCACAAUGGGCGCAAGCCUGAUGCAGCCAUGCCGCGUGUAUGAAGAAGGCCUUCGGGUUGUAAAGUACUUUCAGCGGGGAGGCGUUACUGGCAGAAGAAGCACCGGCUAACUCCGUGCCAGCAGCCGCGGUAAUUC